rnacentral:lncRNA from 1 species
AGAACACAUGAUCACUUAGCAUAUAAGUGUCCAAACACAUCCCUCUCAUCUCUCAUCUCUCCCAAAUACCCUUUCAGAGACGCCAUGUAAACCCUAGUCGUUGCCUAAAAAUUCCCUCGCCGCUGUCGACGGCGCCUCCUCCUUUUACCACCAAAUUAAUACCCCUUGAAUCCCCUUCUUCCCCUCAUUCCAAAACUCUACUCAUCUCCUCGAAUCCCCAUUGAACUGCUCAAAUUUCAAAUCAAAGAGUCGAGCCCUAAAAGCCUAAAAUCGAAAUUAAGCAUGCAAGGUCAAGGGUCCAAUCUCAUGAAGUUUUAGGGCCAAUUUUAUCGCGAAAUAGUGUUAUGUGACUAUUUUUGACCAAGAACAGAUGAUUGACAUUAUCUCGCAGUUUAACUUGGAAGGUCCGUCCAAGUUUGAGUUUGAAUCGGUAAGUAUUCUUUAUUUUUUUCUAUCUAUUUUUAUUGUGUCACCAUAUGUCCCCUUUCUCUGUCUUCUAUCCUACUUAAAUUGGUUUCUUCUGAGGAAUUUAGGGAAAUUUCAAUUUUCUGAAUCUUGGUUUUGUUUGUUUUCAUUAGUCAUUUGAUACUCAUGCUAUGUCAUGCUUUCCAGUGUGCUUGGUUGAUUGUAUUUGGUUUGCUCGUUUGCAAUUUUUGUUUUCAUUUAGUAGUGUUAGGCUUAUGAUUUUUGUUGUAGUUCUCAUGAUUAAUUUUUAAUCUUAUUUCCCUUUGUUUUGAUUUCACUUCGAAUCCGUUUAAUUUGUAACCCUUUUUUGGGUUUGAAUUUUUGUUUGGGCUUUGAUAGGCUAUAUUUGGUUGCUGAUUGAAUUAAAGACCAGAAGAAAUGGGGUUCAUUCUAGCUGGAAAGCCCAGGUUGAAGGCUGGACCCUUGGGUCAAUUUGACGGAUAAAUCAUUUGGGGUUUAGGGGGAAGGGGAUAAAAACAGGGUAACCAAAGGUUAAAUUGGGUAAUUCAAUUGAGGAAUCUUGUAGUAACUGUCUUAAGAAGCUUCUAGAAAGCUAAACAUAGUCUUACUUGGUUAGCAAGUCAAAAUUUGAGGGAUUAAGUAGCAAUAAAAAAAUUAGAGAAAGGAAGAACUACAAAAAGGAAAUCUGAUAGUUGCUCUAUUGUUGUGCCUAUAAAACAUUCCAUUCUUGCUUUUCAAGGCAAGGAUUAAGAGAGAAAAUUCUAAAAAAUCAGACGGCUGCACAAAAUUAAUGUUUCAUUGAAGUCUUUUGUGUGAUUUGUUGAGUUUCCAAUUUCUGAGAUUAUUUUUUAUCCUUCUUGAGUUGAAAUGAUUUGAGUUUGAUUGCUUUUCAAUUUUGAGUUCAAAGUUUGGUUUGUUCUUUGGGUUGCUGCAUCUAAUCUGUUACCUUUGUUGGUUCAAAUUGUGGUAAAAAACUGUUUCUCCUGGCUAUUUCUGCAGCUAACACUGCUCUAUUGUGUUGAUCAUCUUCCUUUUCUCUUAUUUCGUCUUCCAGGUACACAUUUUCUGAACUAAAAACCAUAUAUGAAGUCUGAAUUUCAAAAGGAAAUGAAAACAUCAAACAUGGCUUCAGCAUGUCUCGGCUCUCCAACUUGGUGCUAUUGUGUCCAUAUUACAUGAUUUUGAGUUUGUUCAAUAUAGUGAAUGUUUUAUUAUGAUGGCUAUAAUUAAUAUAUUUCUGACAUGAAGUUAAAUGUAAUAUUUCCUUAUGGAUUGGUCGUGGGAUUUACAGUUUGUUAUGGUAGUUCAGUUUGAACCGGAAAGGACACUCAGUUGUAAUGUGUUAAUUAAAUGAUUGUGCAUUUUCUGUUUGAAUAUGAAAUAUGUUGCAUUGGAUCUCUUGAUGCAUUUCAAAUUAGGUGUUGAUCUCAAGUCGCUUGGGAUGAGUUAAGUAUAUAGACUGUUGAGCAAACUGUUUAUGGGCAAGGACUGGUAAUUGCAGCAUUUGAAACUCAAUUGAGUAGUAUUUAGGUCUGAAGUAUUUGGUUAUUUCAUGUGAUUAGUGUUCUGUUUGUAAUGCUAAAGCUCAAUAGAAUCAUCUUUAGGACUAUGGAUUUAUAAUAGCCACUCAGUGCCAGGUGUUCUUUUCUCAACUAUUUGGUUUAGCCUUAGGAGUAAUUCAAUAAGUUAAGGAACUUAAUUUGUCUUUUGAAGGGUAAAAUAGUGAUGUGUAUAUUUGUUUAACGCUUUAGAACAGUCAUGACCCAUUGCUUGUCCUUUUGCUUGAUAAUUGAAAAGUGAAAUGCAAAAGAUUAACCUCCUGUGUUGAUUUGUGGAUUCGAACUAGGGACCUCAUCUCCUGUUGAGGCUAUUUUGUUUGGAUCUGGGCUGUUAUAUGCUCAGCUUAGACUGCCGUUAAUUGGUAACGCAGGGUGGUGUCAUGCCAGUGGGUUGUUGAGCAUCAUGAUCAAUCCAAAUGCCCUUUUUUUAUGUUCGACUCGUCCUUCUAGUUUUAAAACAACACUUUUAGCUGGCUUAGGUAAUAGUGGAGGUCUCAUGUCUUCAAUAAAUUGAGG